rnacentral:rRNA from 1 species
GGGGAAUAUUGCACAAUGGGGGAAACCCUGAUGCAGCGACGCCGCGUGAGUGAAGAAGUAUUUCGGUAUGUAAAGCUCUAUCAGCAGGGAAGAUAAUGACGGUACCUGACUAAGAAGCCCCGGCUAACUACGUGCCAGCAGCCGCGGUAAUACGUAGGGGGCAAGCGUUAUCCGGAUUUACUGGGUGUAAAGGGAGCGUAGGCGGUCUGGCAAGUCAGAUGUGAAAGCCCGGGGCUCAACUCCGGGACUGCAUUUGAAACUGUCCGACUAGAGUGCAGGAGAGGUAAGUGGAAUUCCUAGUGUAGCGGUGAAAUGCGUAGAUAUUAGGAGGAACACCAGUGGCGAAGGCGGCUUACUGGACUGUAACUGACGCUGAGGCACGAAAGCUAGGGGAGCAAAC